AUGCCAUGAUGAGGACAUUUUAGUAACAAUUACUUGAACCUCUCCCAUGCCUCAUACAAAGAUUCUUCUUUCAGUUGCUGAAAAGAAAUGAUCUCAUUACAGAGCUU